rnacentral:rRNA from 1 species
GAUGAACGCUGGCGGCGUGCCUAAUACAUGCAAGUCGAGCGAACAGACGAGGAGCUUGCUCCUCUGACGUAAGCGGCGGACGGGUGAGUAACACGUGGAUAACCUACCUAUAAGACUGGGAUAACUUCGGGAAACCGGAGCUAAUACCGGAUAAUAUAUUGAACCGCAUGGUUCAAUAGUGAAAGACGGUUUUGCUGUCACUUAUAGAUGGAUCCGCGCCGCAUUAGCUAGUUGGUAAGGUAACGGCUUACCAAGGCAACGAUGCGUAGCCGACCUGAGAGGGGGAUCGGCCACACUGGAACUGGAACACGGUCCAGACUCCUGCGGGAGGCAGCAGUAGGGAACCGUCCGCAAUGGUCGAAAACCUGACGGAGCAACGCGGCGUGAGUGAUGAAGGUCCCCGGAUCGUAAAACUCUGUUAUUAGGGAAGAACAAAUGUGUAAGUAACUAUGCACGUCUUGACGGUACCUAGUCAGAAAGCCACGACUAACUACGUG